AGCAGUGAGGAAUCUUGGGCAAUGGGCGAAAGCCUGACCCAGCGACGCCGCGUGGAGGAAGAAGGCCUUCGGGUCGUAAACUCCUGUUUGGGGAGAAGAACAAGAGAGAAGUUAAUAGCUUCUCUCUCUGACGGCAUCCCCGGAGAAAGCUCCGGCUAAUUACGUGCCAGCAGCCGCGGUAAUACGUAAGGAGCGAGCGUUGUCCGGAUUUACUGGGCGUAAAGGGCUCGUAGGUGGUUUCUUAGGUCUCACGUGAAAUUCCCUGGCUCAACCAGGGAGGGUCGUGGGAAACCGAGAGGCUAGAGGGCAGGAGAGGAGAGUGGAAUUCCCGGUGUAGCGGUGAAAUGCGUAGAGAUCGGGAGGAACACCAGUGGUGAAGACGGCUCUCUGGACUGUCCCUGACACUGAGGAGCGAAAGCCAGGGGAGCAAACCGGAUUAGAUACCCGGGUAGUCCUGGCCGUAAACGAUGGGUACUAGGUGUGGGGGGUUCGACCCCCUCCGUGCCGCAGUUAACGCAUUAAGUACCCCGCCUGGGGAGUACGGCCGCAAGGUUGAAACUCAAAGGAAUUGACGGGGGCCCGCACAAGCGGUGGAGCAUGUGGUUUAAUUCGAUGCAACGCGAGGAACCUUACCAGGGCUUGACAUGCUGGUGGUAGGAGCCCGAAAGGGUAACGACCUCUGGUUUACCAGAGGAGCCAGUACAGGUGCUGCAUGGUUGUCGUCAGCUCGUGUCGUGAGAUGUUGGGUUAAGUCCCACAACGAGCGCAACCCCUGUCCUUAGUUGCCACAGGUAAUGCUGAGCACUCUAAGGAGACUGCCAGGGACAACCUGGAGGAAGGUGGGGAUGACGUCAAAUCCUCAUGGCCCUUAUGUCCUGGGCGACACACGUGCUACAAUGGCCAGUACAGAGGGUUGCAAACCCGUAAGGGGG
rnacentral:rRNA from 1 species